UUUUACUGUUGUAACAUGUUUAUCAAUUUUCUUGAGGUUUGAACAUAAGAAAUACAUUGUAUUAUUUCCUUGUCAUGUAAAUACUUCCCAAUUUUAGAAUUAUUGGUUGACCUGUAUUUUCAUUACUUUUCUGUGUUUUCUGCUAAAUAAGAAAUAAAUUUAUGUUCUUUUAACAGGGCUUUGAUACAGGUAGACUGCAUUCUCAGUGAGACACUGUUUGUAAGCAUAGGGUUUCGUAAUAAAGAACUUGAGAGGUCUUUAAGGCUCAGCUGUGUUUUUUCACAGAUAUUUGAGGAAAGGGAGAAAAGCUAAAAAGAACUGAACUGCUGACAUAGAAAUGUUCUCUUUGUAAUCUUAUUUAAAACAUUUUUUUUAGUAGCUGAGAUUUGCAGAAGUUUUUGUAUUUACUCAGUUUCUGUUGAAGAUGACGAUAGAACUUCAGGCCUGCUGUGCGAAGAGAGUUAGACAAACAAUUAGAGGGUGGCUAAUAUACCGCAUCUGAAAAUAUAAGCUCCCAUGCUUUAAUCCCAGUAUUCACAAAAGCCAUAUUUGCUGCACAAGUUCUUAAAAAUGAUUGUUGAAGAAGGCAAUGGUCCCUCCCAGCUGCAAAAGAAAUUUGGAAGUGAUACUCGUCAUUGUUAAGGAGAUUUUAGUAAAUCAGAUGUUUCAGUUUCAUACACUUUUUUUUGAAUUUAUUUUUGCUUGCAUGAGGUAAGUGAAUGAAAAAUUGCAUGUAUCAUGUAAACCUUAA